rnacentral:rRNA from 1 species
AACGAACGCUGGCGGCAUGCCUAACACAUGCGAGUCGAACGAGACCUUCGGGUCUAGUUGCGCACGGGUGCGUAACGCGUGGGAACCUUCCCUUAGGUUCGGAAUAACUCCCCGAAAGGGGUGCUAAUACCGGAUAAUGUCUUCGGACCCAAGAUUUAUCGCCUCUGGAUGGGCCCGCGUUGGAUUAGCUAGUUGGUAGGGUAAAAGCCUACCAAGGCGACGAUCCAUAGCUGGUCUGAGAGGAGGAUCAGCCACACUGGGACUGAGACACGGCCCAGACUCCGACGGGAGGCAGCAGUGGGGAAGAUUGGACAAGGGGCGAAAGCCUGAUCCAUCAAUGCCGCGGGAGUGAUGAAGGCCGUAGGGUGGUAAAGCUCUUUUACACGGGAUGAUAAGGACAGUACCGGGAGAAUAAGCACCGGCAAAUUCCGG